rfam:Schistosoma mattheei strain Denwood, Zambia genome assembly, scaffold: SMTD_scaffold0002346
GCACUGCUGAAGAGUCCCACACUAGAACGAAAUGGCCGUCCAGUGC